AACCGUUCAGGGGUAAACCUGCGAAACUCGAAUGAACGAACGGAGAGAUUCAUCGUCAUUCCGCGGCGUACGGCGCGCCCUUCGAUUGACGGGGUGCCCCGUCGCCACGUUCGCGGACGGCGUGCACUUCUCUCUCAGUAACGUCGCGACCCGUUCGCGGUUUAAGCGUGGCUCGGGAGCCGUGCGAUCGGACGGUAGUUGGGAAUCGCGCACGCGCCUAGCGCGUCAGGCCCGACGCAAGUGGCGUACGCCUGCCGUUGUGCGGCCGCUGACUGUACGCCGCUGUCGUCGCAGCCGUUGUCUCUGACCGUGCGCGUGUCCGUCUGCGAUGUUUCCGUUUCGGGCACUCGCAGGACCCGUCUUGAAACACGGACCAAGGAGUCUAGCAUGUGUGCGAGUCAUUGGGUUAAAACCGAGAGGCGCAACGAAAGUGAAGGCGCGCGCCGCGCGCUCAGGGGGGAUGGAGGACCGAUCUCUCGCACCCCCGAGGCGUCUCGUUUCCAAUCUGUGAAUGCAGGCGCGCUCUGAGCACAGAUGCUGGGACCCGAAAGAUGGUGAACUAUGCCUGGUCAGGUCGAAGUCAGGGGAAACCCUGAUGGAGGACC
rnacentral:rRNA from 1 species